rnacentral:hammerhead_ribozyme from 1 species
AUCCAGCUGACGAGUUCUAAAUAGGACGAAAUAAGCGUUUCUGGAU